ACCAGCUAUCUCCUGCUCCCUGUCCUGCACUGCAAAGGAGGCCUUUUCAUCCUCUCUACUGCCUCCAAUUUUUCUCACGAGGAAUGUGAGAGGAAAACCUAGAGCUUGUUCCUGAAGCAUGGUGCUAAGUCCAUAUGCAGCAGAUGGAGCUCAUGAGAAAAGAGUUGCUCUUGUGAAGACCAAAGCUUGAAAAAGCAUUCCCAGAAGCACGGAGAAGUGAGGAGAAAAGGCAAUGCACCUGGAGCUGGAGACCAAGGCCCUGUUCUUACUGAUGGCCCUUGGAGCAGAUAUUUGAAUUGGAGAGAUAAAACCGUGGUUUUUGGGGUGUUAAUUUUGGUGGCUGAUGCAUUCUGUGAUUGAUUUGGCUAUUACAACUGGUAUUGAUUUUAAACACAUUAAUUGCAAAAUCUCAAUUGUGAUUUGAUUUCUGUAUUUACAAUACUAAAAACGAGGCUUUCGCCAGGAGAAGACAAUUGGCAGUACUCAGUUGGAAGUGCUUAAUUGUUAAUAUAUAUCAGCCGUGGUUCUUCAGCGUCGUCAGUGUUGCUCAGUCUUGCUCUUUGUGGCGACUACUGAAUGCUUGAAAAAUUCUCUCCUAUACUCCCACUCUGCACUGUAGAAGAGAAAGAGAGGAGAGUGGAAGAAAAAAGAGAGGGAGAGGAGAAAGAAAGAGAGGAGAGAGAAACAUGGGCAUGGAUGAUACAUAAGAUAAUUCCAGAAGAUUUCAGCAUAGCAGAUAAAAUACAGCAAAUCCUAACCAGCACAGGUUUGAGUGACAAACGGGCCGGUUCCAUGGACACAGGUGACUUCAUCAGGUAUUUUCAUAAGUGUUUACAUGUCUUUACUGUGACACCUUCAGAUUAGAGAUUUUAAAGGCUUUUAAGCGGUAUAAGGUGCUUCCUGGGAGAGUUAUUGCAUAGCACUUCCAUGGCAUGGAAUAGUAUUUGGUGUAGAAGAUGAAGGCUAGUUAGCUGCAGCAGAAUGAACAUUUCUUUAAGAACAGUAGUAAAGAAC
rnacentral:lncRNA from 1 species